rnacentral:ncRNA from 2 species
AGAGUUAAACAGUACGUGAAAUUGUUGAAAGGGAAACGAUUGAAGUCAGUCAUACCAACGGGAAAUCAACCUCUUGAGUUUGGUCUUGUGGGUUUCGAAGAGUUUAAAAGCCUUCGGAUUUGCGAGGAUUGGGCUCUUUUGGUGUACUUUCUCGUACGGUUAGUCAACAUCGGUUUUGAAUGUCAUAAAAUGACUGGAGGAAUGUGGCUUCGAUCUCGUAUUGAAGUGUUAUAGCCUUUGGUAGAUGUGAUGUUCGAGACCGAGGAUUGCAAUGGAUACCCUUCUGGGCUAUUCGUCUGAUCUCUGAUACGUUGCCUUGAUGUCGAAAGCUCGCUUAUGAUGUUAGGGUAUUACGGUCAAAAGGUUAGAACGGAUUAAAUUCGUUAAGGAUGUUGACGUAAUGACUUUAAACGACC